rnacentral:rRNA from 1 species
UACGUAGGGUGCGAGCGUUAAUCGGAAUUACUGGGCGUAAAGCGUGCGCAGGCGGCUUUGCAAGACAGAGGUGAAAUCCCCGGGCUCAACCUGGGAACUGCCUUUGUGACUGCAAGGCUAGAGUACGGCAGAGGGGGAUGGAAUUCCGCGUGUAGCAGUGAAAUGCGUAGAUAUGCGGAGGAACACCGAUGGCGAAGGCAAUCCCCUGGGCCUGUACUGACGCUCAUGCACGAAAGCGUGGGGAGCAAACAGGA